GUUAACUUGGAGAAAUAGCUAAAGCUAGUGCUGAAGGUUGCAAAAACUUUUCCACCUACAGAAGGAGGAGGCAGAAAGGAAGUGGAGUGACACAUCUGCUCCACUGCCCUUCACUCAGGGCCCCACUCUGCACCACUGGAGAAUGAGGAAAGACUGUGCUGAAGAUACCAUUUUCUCAAGUUCGUGUUCUUUGUUUUGGUGCACACCAAAACCUUGAGAUGUACUCCAAAUCACCACUAAUGAAACAUCCAUACAAAGGUCUGCAAUGGUGUCCCCAGAAAGGAGAAAAAAAUGCCUCUAACUGAUGUGGGUACAUUUCUGAAAUUUUGGUGAGCUGAAGGAAGAAGAUGAGUCAAUCCCAGUCUGUGAAUGUGAACACACGAGGGGGAGCCUGAGGAAGCUUGGUCAUCUUGAUUUGUCCGACUGAGGGAUUUGAAGACCACCUUAUCACUCGAUGGAACAGCCAAGACCACUCAGAUUCAGCGGAAGAUCAUCAGUCUUCCAAAACACUGCAAGAGUUGUGCAGUUUCACGUGUGGUCUGACCUGUACUUGUGGAGCUAAUGGGAACUCUGAUGUGUGCAUCUGGUUGAGAAUACUUUGCAGUACCACGCUGAGCACAACCAAACUGCAGAGCCUUCCAAAGAGGUUGGCUGGCCGGCUGAUCACUUUUGCUGUUGCAGUCAUCCUGGGAGCAAAACGUCCACGACAGAAGAUGGGCAGACAUUAAAAGAAGUUGGAAAGAGUCAGAAGUUAACAAAGGAGUGGAAGAUCAUGCAGCUGAAGUGGAAGGAUGUUCUAGAGAUACACUUUUGCUAGUUUCGCAGUAUUUUGGAAACAUUAGAAGUUUAGGCUUUCAGUGGGCAUAUCUAAUCAUAAAGAAGAAAAUGAUACUAGUGGUAGCCUUUGUUAGGGUGUCCAUAACUCAGUACUUCCCCUAUUGUCACAGACUUCUAUGUUGGAUUCAUCCAUCCUUAGGUAAUUGUCUAAAACCGACACCAAGAGAUGCCCUCUCAAGUGACCUUUCACUGAUAAAAGCAGGAAACCUGGCUUAAAGCAGGGGCUUAAAAGUUAAAUGGCUACAUUUAAGGGAGAUUAAUUCUACUCCCAGCACUUAAUCUACAUUAAUCAUCAGGGCUCAGUAUCUCAUCUCCAGAAAGACACAUGGAGCAUGCAUCCCAUUCUUGGAUGGGAGCUUAUGGGAGCUGGGAUAAACCAUCCUCCAAAGUGUCAGUUCUCUGCACUGCCUACAGAGAGGGAUGAGAGAGCUCUUCAGAAAGGUUCUGCAGAGAUUUUCUUAGAAAAUCAGGCAGGGUGAGUGCAGAUUUUGACCUUUUUGUGGCGGAGGGACAGAGAUUUUCAAGACCAAGUGCCCUUAGCACUGGAUUAAAUGCCUAAAACUAGGCAUUUAAACUAGUCAAAACUAGUCAACUAGGGAAGUACUUAUUUCUACUCAUGGUCUGUUUUGCUUGAAUUAAGGAUUCAAUUUAAGCAUCACCUGUACAUGUGAAGUUUUUGCCUUCCAAGAUACAGAUGCGUAUAACAGAUAUCUCCCAGAUGGAGGUAGAGCUUCUAGUGGUGUUGCCAUAGGACUGAAGCACACAGUAGGAAGUUUAUUUCAGUUUCAAAAGUGAAGAUUAGUGCAACAGAGGCAAGAAUGAUCUGUCUCUAUUCUCUUUUCUCUCUUGAAUUGACGAACACUCACAAAUCAACUCUUUGAAAGAGUAGAUAACAGCAGGACGAGGGCAAAUGGUUUUAAGCCGAAGGAGGAAAGGUUUAGGUUGGAUGUCAGGGGGAAGUUCUUUACUAUGAGAGUGGUGAGGUGCUGGAACAGGAUGCCCAGAGAGAUUGUGGAUGCCCCAUCCCUGAAGGUGUUCAAGGCCAGGUAGGAUGGGGCCCUGGGCAGCCUGGUCUAGUAUUAAACUGGGAGGUUGGUGGCCCUGCCUGUGGCAGCGGGGUUGUAGAUUCAUGAUCCUUGAGGUCCCUUCCAACCUGGGCCAUUCUAUGAUUCUGUGAUUCUGUGAAAUCAGGAUGACAGUGGGGAAGAGCUGACCUUUUUAUUUACACUAAAUACAUUUAAAUGGUAUAGGGGGAUCAAGAGCAGCAUAUUACUUUGGCCAUGCUACAAAUUUUCUUGCACAAUUUCCUCAAAAGUUGAAUGAAUUUCAAGGCUAACCUGCAUACAUUUUUAAUUAAGAGAAAAGCAUUUAUCCUUUGGAUGGGUGAGAGCACUGAAUCUGACCAACACUCUUCAGAAGCUCCCAGCCCCCUGCUUUAUUCCGUGAACUUACACUCCCAGAAAUGUGGCACGGCUUUAUAUUUCACAGCAUCCAUAACGUGGAUUUAUCAAAGGUCACUAUGGCAACAUUCAGGCAGUCUGAGACAAAUAUGAGUACGAGCAUAGAAACAGGACAAAACAAACUGAAAUCGCCCCGUUCCCACCCUGCCUUGUACCCUGGCCCUCCAGCUCCAAAUUUAGACAACCACUGUUAUUAAUACUCCGGUCGAUAUUACCUCAGUGGAGGUUGAAAAGCAGAAGAGAGUUCACAGCGCUCACAGGGAGAGGAAUAUCACUGCGGUAUAGGCAUGCUACGUGCAUGGGAUCGCUGGGGCUAUGGGUAGCGCUGCAGAAUAAUUGUAUUGGCAUGUGUGAAUUCUGGGAAUCAGAGCCUCCUCGUAUUUGUUUUGGCCGGGUUUCCAUGACAAUAAGUGCACUUGCUAUUAAUUCUCUAGUUUAUUACUUGUCUUUAUUCCUUGUAUUUGGGGGAGGGGAUUAUUCACAUCCGCGGUGGAAUUCCAGGCUUUAUGUAGUUAAACCUGAACUUUUUGAGAGUGUAUACAUAUACAUACAUAAAUAUAUAUGUGAGAAUACAAGGUACUCAAUCAAAAAUCUCUAUAUUGACAGUGAUACACGUUUUCAGAAUGGACUGAAAAAAUUUGAGGUAUAUUACUCUUCUUUUAUUAAUCAUAUCUUAAACUGUUCUUCUGGAUAUAUCUUAACCACAAUUAAAUUUAUAAGGUCUUCUUUUCCCCCUUAUUUUGUUCAUUUUGGUAAAUGAUACACUUUUAACAUUUUAUACCCCGUGAAGAAGGAAAAGUGUCCAAAAGAUGAAGGCGUUCAGAAUUGUUUUUCCUUUCUCUCUUCAUGUACUUAUUCAUACUUUGUUACAUAGGGUACACGCAGACCAAUACACACACACAAAUCUAUAUGAAAGAGCAUCAAUGGAAGUACGGUUGCAAAGUGAACUUCUCAGUAAUUAAGAUAAGGCAAAAUAAAAGUUCCUUGUGAAACUUUACCUUUCUCCCUUUUACUACAUGUUAUCUUGCAACUUACUGAUCUGGUAGCCUUCCAUUUGUAAACGGGAACCUCCCAUGGUGAGAACCGUCCUCUGAUAGCAGGCAGUAAUUUGUUACAGAGUUAGCUUUACUGUGCGGUAGUUGCUUCCACA
ensembl:lncRNA